GACGAACGCUGGCGGCGUGCCUAAUACAUGCCAGUUGAGCGCUGAAGGUUGGUACUUGUACCAACUGGAUGAGCAGCGAACGGGUGAGUAACGCGUGGGGAAUCUGCCUUUGAGCGGGGGACAACAUUUGGAAACGAAUGCUAAUACCGCAUAAAACCUUUAAACACAAGUUUUAAGUUUGAAAGAUGCAAUUGCAUCACUCAAAGAUGAUCCCGCGUUGUAUUAGCUAGUUGGUGAGGUAAAGGCUCACCAAGGCGAUGAUACAUAGCCGACCUGAGAGGGUGAUCGGCCACAUUGGGACUGAGACACGGCCCAAACUCCUACGGGAGGCAGCAGUAGGGAAUCUUCGGCAAUGGACGAAAGUCUGACCGAGCAACGCCGCGUGAGUGAAGAAGGGUUUCGGAUCGUAAAACUCUGUUGGUAGAGAAGAACGUUGGUGAGAGUGGAAAGCUCAUCAAGUGACGGUAACUACCCAGAAAGGGACGGCUAACUACGUG
rnacentral:rRNA from 1 species